UACGAAGGGGGCUAGCGUUGCUCGGAAUUACUGGGCGUAAAGGGCGCGUAGGCGGAUGUCUAAGUUGGGGGUGAAAUCCCGGGGCUCAACCUCGGAACCGCCUUCAAUACUGGAUAUCUUGAGUUCGGGAGAGGUGAGUGGAAUGCCGAGUGUAGAGGUGAAAUUCGUAGAUAUUCGGCGGAACACCAGUGCGAAGGCGACUCACUGGCCCGAUACUGACGCUGAGGCGCGAAAGCGUGGGGAGCAAACAGGGAUUAAGA
rnacentral:rRNA from 1 species